rnacentral:rRNA from 1 species
UAGGGAAUCUUCGGCAAUGGGGGGAACCCUGACCGAGCAACGCCGCGUGAGUGAAGAAGGUUUUCGGAUCGUAAAGCUCUGUUGUUAAGGAAGAACGAGUGUGAGAAUGGAAAGUUCAUGCUGUGACGGUACUUAACCAGAAAGGGACGGCUAACUACGUGCCAGCAGCCGCGGUAAUACGUAGGUCCCGAGCGUUGUCCGGAUUUAUUGGGCGUAAAGCGAGCGCAGGCGGUUAGAAAAGUCUGAAGUGAAAGGCAGUGGCUCAACCAUUGUAGGCUUUGGAAACUGGUUGACUUGAGUGCAGAAGAGGAGAGUGGAAUUCCAUGUGUAGCGGUGAAAUGCGUAGAUAUAUGGAGGAACACUAGUGGCGAAGGCGACUCUCUGGUCUGUAACUGACGCUGAGGCUCGAAAGCGUGGGUAGCAAACAGG